GCCACAGAAGAAAACUUUGUGAAGACAAGAAAGAUGCUUAUCUAUAAACCAAGUAAAGAAACCUGCAAAAGAAACCAACCCUGGAGACACCAUGGUCUUGAACUUCUAGCCUCAGAACUGGAUUUCAAUUUUCUGAUUGAAGUUCAGCCAUGAGAGUUGGCCCAGUUAAAGCAGAAGCUGCGGGAAGGAAAAGACGCUUCUUUCUUCAUCAAUAGGCAUCUCAAGGACCUCUUCACCCAGCAUGAUCCUGAGAACCAUCGAGAGUCACUGGCUGAGGAGGGCAGGCUGGCAAACAAUAUCUUGUUCACAAGCAGAGCCCAGAAUAUGAGGAGGAGGAGGAGGAUAAAGAAGAAGGAGAGCCACUGGAUUACACAUAACAAUGAAUGACCAAAGACAAUAAGCAAGGGUAAUACAAUGGGGUUUGGGUAUUCUAAAAUACACAACAUGAGGCCAAAAGUAGCUGCAUAUUCCAUAAUCAAAGGUAAAAUAAGCUUCUGAUUGCCUGAUGUUGUUCAUUCAACUAAAGAUGACAGUCUUUUUUUCAUUUUAUAUGACAGCAGAAUGCAUUAGAAUUCAUAUUACACAUAUAGAGCACAAUUUUUCAUAUCUCUGGUUGUAUACAAAGUAUAUUCACACCAUUCAUGUCUUCAUACAUGUACUAAGGGUAAUAUCUAUCCCAUUCCACCAGACAUAGUCCUUUUAACCAGGUUAUGAAUUUCAUUUAUGCUAGUUGUAGAAUGAGUCUGUCCAAGGGGAACAAGCAGUGGUUGUUGUUGUUGUUGUUGUUAGAUAUACGUAACAGUAGAGUGUAUUUUGAUGUAUCAUACAUACAUGAAGUGCAACCUAUUCCAAUUAAGAUCCUAUUCUUGUGAUUGUACAUAAAUACCAGUGAGUAUUUUCACUGGUCAUGUGUUCAUAUAUAAACAUAGGAAAGUUGUGUCUAAUUCAUUCUACU